AGUUCUGGAUGCAGCAGCAUCCUUCAUGGGGGAAGACAGUGGCCAUGGAGGAGCAGCAGAGACAAAACAUUAAGGACUGACCACAGCCCCAUCCCCUGUCCCUCCUGCUCAUCUUGGGGGGAGGAGGUUGAGGUUUCAGGCAUAAAGUUGAGCCUUGAGAGUAGAGGUUGUAGGAGAAAAGUGUUUUUAGAUUUGCUUUGUUUUCACUGUUCAACCCUGUCAUUAACUGGCAAUAAACUGACUUCGUCUUCCAAAAGCUGGGAUGGUAGCUGGUGAGAGAUCUCCCUGUCCCUGUCUCAACCCACAAGCUGUUUGAUCAUAUUUUCUCCCUGCUUGUUGAGGUACCAGAUCUCCCUUCCCUGAUGCUGACACAACCAUCUGCCUUACGCCAAGCACAGAGGAAGGUCCGGCGGCUUGAAUAAGACACGGCGAUGCUCUGUGAUGAUGCAGGAACUGGGAUAAUUGAGUUUUCAGCAGGUCCCCUCAUAGUGGGUUUACCUGCGUAGGCAGAAGAGCUUAAGUCCUGCCUGGUACAGGUCAGUGCCUCGCUUUUGUGUGCUCCUCUCUUCUCACAGCACAUCCCUACGUGCUCAGCAUCGGUGCUCAGCGGGAAGAACGAGAGGAGCGCUGGUAUCAUUAAUACUACUAUUAAUUUUAUUUGAGAGAGAGAAGGACAUGCUUGGAAAGACAGAAACAGAGAAGAACACGGAAGCAUAAUCUGAGCCUAGUCAAAGCUCAGGAACGUGCCCGAUUCAUCAAGCUGCACCCCAAGAGUCAUCUCGAUGGUGAAGGCUCGUCUGGAGGGGGUGGUCAGCUUGAUCUUGCAGGAGUGGUCGGAGGGCACCAGCUCCAGGCCCCAGUCACGCGACUGAGGCAGACAAUUCCAGGCUGCUUUCACCCGCUUCUGGAACCAGCGCGUGGUUUUCUGCACGUCCAGGUAGGAGGCCCUGCACAAGGUGUUGAGGAGGCUGGCUUCCUGGUUUUCUCUCAGCUCCCUCCGAGUGUGGUGGAGAAAGCAGA
ensembl:lncRNA